UACGUAGGGGGCCAGCGUUGCUCGGAAUUACUGGGCGUAAAGGGUUCGUAGGCGGUGUGGCAAGUCGGAAGUGAAAUCUCCAGGCUCAACUUGGAGGCUGCUCCCGAAACUGCCAUGCUAGAGUGCGGGAGAGGCGAGUGGAAUUGCAGGUGUAGCGGUGAAAUGCGUAGAUAUCUGCAGGAACACCCGUGGCGAAAGCGGCGAGCUGGAUCACUACUGACGCUGAGGAACGAAAGCUAGGGGAGCAAACAGG
rnacentral:rRNA from 1 species